AAGUACCCGUGAGUUUUUGUUAUGAAUCACACGGAAUGUUUUCACCCAACUAGAAGUUGCCAUAUAUUUUUUGCCUAUACGUUUACACGUUCUUCCCCCAACACCCCAUUUCUCGACCUUUAAUCCCUUUUCAGACUUCAAUCCCAGAAGGCCAGAAUAAUAAACCCUAAAUUAAACAAAUCAAAAAUAAAAUCACAAAUCAAACCACUUUUGCAUUAAUUACUUUCUGAUUCCAGUAUCAAUCCCUACACUUUUGUGUUGAUUACGGUGUAUAUCACAUAAUCCUGUUGUGUGAUGUACAAUUGACUAGCGAUGAUGCUGGGAUCUGCCUUCCAAAUCUUACCACAAUAGCUGUGGCCUUUGAUAAGGAGAACAAAAUCUACUCUGUGAAUGGGGUACCUAUGAACGAUGAUUUCCUGUGGAUUCCUCGCUUAAAGACCUGGACAAAGUCUUCUAUAAGUUGGGCUAACUUUACUUAAUCUUCUGCAAUAUCUACUGAAUGAAUUGGCAAAGGGAAAGGACUGGAACAAGUAGCUGCUAUUUUGCGCAAGUUAUUAGAAAAGUUGCCGUUGGCGGUGAAUAUGGACAUAAACGGUCUCAAUGUCAGUCGCCUUUCCCAUCUGAGUUGAAGCCAAGACGACAUAAGCCCCCCUCAAUCAACUUCACAAUCUUCUACCAAUGAUAUAGUUGAUUUGGAUGAUAUGUAAAGAUUGCCAACUGUUGUUUGGACGAGGCAUUAUGUUUUAAUGAUGAUUGUAUUUUGACAGAACUGCUUGUGUUAAUAUAGUACGUCUUAUUAA